UGUCCAGAUGGUGUAGUGGUCAGCAUGUUUGCCUAAUAAGCAGGAAACCUGGGUUUGAAUCCCAGUCUGGCAU